AUGCAAAGAACUUUGAAAAGAGAGUUAAAGAGUACCUGAAAUUGCUGAAAGGUAAGCAAAGGAAACCAGUGCCGCCGAUAUAGUAUAUUUCCUGGACCACUUGUGGUCUGGGCACUGUGCUACAUCAUGGGUUAUCGAGGGUUUGGGAUGUCUGAAUUGGUCCUGGAGGAUGUGUCCCCUUUUGGGGUGUUAUAUCUCUUGGAUUGGAAGGUGUCCUGGGCUGUUUGAGUCACGCAAGUGCUCAUGACGAUAUCAAAAUGGUUUUCUUUACCCCGUCUUGAAACACGGACCAAGGAGUCUAACAUGUAUGCGAGUAUAAGGGUGAUAAACCUACAUGCGUAAUGAAAGUAACAGUGGUUGGACCUUUAUUGGGCACAAUCUGCCGGUCAAUAUCCUUCGGGAGAAAGGUCCGAGUGUGAGCAUAUAUGUUGGGACCCGAAAGAUGGUGAACUAUGCUUGAAUAGGAUGAAGCCAGGGGAAACUCUGGUGGAGGUCCGUAGGGAUUCUGACGUGCAAAUCGAUCCUCAAAUUUGAGUAUAGGGGCGAAAGACUAAUCGAACCAUCUAGUAGCUGGUUCCCUCCGAAAUUUCCCUCAGGAUAGCUGCAACCAGAAAUCACUUCUAUCA
rnacentral:rRNA from 1 species